AUAUUUUGUAGCCCUGACGUACCAACUCUCUUCUGUGCCGAUUAUUAUUCAAAGAAUGGAAACUGUGUUCCCUGUCCUCCAGGAUACUUUGGACCCAAUUGUAGUCAUGCCUGUCCCUAUCCAACAUAUGGAGAGAAUUGUACAGAAGGCGAAUGUGAAUGUCCAAAGGAAUCAUGCAGCAUCAAAUAUGGAUGUGUAAAACAAAGUAGUAUGAGUCCAUGGUUAAUGUCAGCAAUAUUUAAAACCACGUCGUCACCAAUUCCCUCUCUUCAGGAGGAUCUCAAGGAAUCGACAAGUUAUUAUGCCAAGAAGCAAUACCAGGAUAAUUUUCACGAAAUGGCUAAUGAAACCAGAAGUAAAAUAGCAGCCGCAACAAAGUCGGAUGAUAUUCAGUAUCAGAGACGCUAUACAGCGACUAUUUUGAUUUCUGUCGCUGGAACAGCUAUUUCUGUCCUUUUGAUUGUGACCAUUGUAUAUCAAUUUAAGUCAAAAUGCCUUAAUCAUACUGAGAACCCAUUGCAUUUGUCUGUUACUUCUGUCUACGAAAGAGAGGGUGAAUAUUCAGAGGUAAUACGAAUUAACAAUUAAGUUUAUGAACAUUUUAUGUGUAAUUUGUUUUAUAAAUCUUGAUUGAUAACGUUUCCUUUGAAGAUUUUCACAGUAAAAGUUACUAUAAAACGUUUCAAUCCAUGUUCAUGAACUGAAAUCGAAGGAAAUGAAAUUACAUAAUGAUUAUACUCCCACACUGUUAAUUCGCUCAUUUUCAGACAUGAACAUCCUUUAUAGGAAACUCAAAGAGGUUUUUAAUAAGCUUUUAUUAUGAUAUGCUCUGAAUAAAUAUUCCAAUC